CAAGUUUUCACCUCUCUUCCCAUCUGCUUCGCAAGCAUGUGUUCGUCCAAGUCUGAGCUCAGCUCCGCCCCGCCGGCGUCACACCACUGCUCCACCCAGAUGCCACCGCUGCCUCUGAUCCGCUGUCCGGAGUGCAACGCCGGCAACGUGCUCUGGUUCGUCUCUGGAACGGUGGAGAACCCAGGGAGGCAUUUCUACAAGUGCGAACGCCAUGGAUUUGGUGGAUGCAGGUUUUGAAAGUGGGAGAACAAGUAUAUACAGCACUUCAGCAACCGCUGGGGUCACCUGCUCUCGCACGCAUCCGUGUAUCGGCAUGUAACUUUGCUUGAGCAGAAUCAAGCAUGGUUGAAGAACAUUUUCAUCUUGGGCGUCCUGAACAUGGUGCUAAUGGCCAUAUGCUGCAUGCACUAGUUCUGAAGCAUCAUGUUGUUAUCGGGCAGAACUGCAAGUAGAAGUUCUGCGAGCUACUGCGCACAAGAUGUAGUUCCAACAUUUGUACUGGAUUUAGCAGUUCAAGCAUUUGUACUGGAGUCGGUAGUUCCAGCUUUUAUACUGGAUUAGGUGUAUUGUACUGGAUUAGAUGUAGUUCCAGCAUUCAGCAGUCCUCUCUUAUGCAUUCAGUUGUACUACGUAUGCACCGUGCCUGUAUGCCGCUUUAGAUGUAUUAAACGGUAUUUGUUUGCGAGCA